rnacentral:piRNA from 1 species
UUUAGUUGAAUGUUAAGUGAAAUACUU